rnacentral:rRNA from 1 species
CACGUAGGGGGCGAGCGUUGUCCGGAUUUAUUGGGCGUAAAGCGCGCGCAGGCGGCUCGGAAAGUCGGGUGUGAAAAUCCGGGGCUCAACCCCGGACCUGCAUCCGAUACUCCCGGGCUAGAGGCAGGCAGAGGAGAGUGGAAUUCCCGGUGUAGCGGUGGAAUGCGCAGAUAUCGGGAGGAACACCAGUGGCGAAGGCGGCUCUCUGGGCCUGUCCUGACGCUCAGGCGCGAAAGCUAGGGGAGCGAACAGG